GUCCCCGUAGCUCAAUGGAUAGAGCACGGGCCUUCUAAGCCUGAGAUCUGGGUUCGAGUCCCAGCGGGGACA
rnacentral:tRNA from 1 species